CAAGGAAUUAAGAGUUUAUGGGGAAUACCUUGGCAUUCAGAAGCGAUGAAGGACGCGGUUACCGGCGAAACACUUCGGGGAGUUGGAAACAAGCUAAGAUCCGGAGGUCUCCGAAUGAGGAAACUUUAUUAAUUACUACUUAUUGAAUACAUAGAUAAGAAAGAGCGAACCUAGAGAAUUGAAACAUCUUAGUAUCUAGAGGAAAAGAAAGUAAAAACGAUUCCCUUAGUAGCGGCGAGCGAAAUGGGAAAAGCCUAAACUUUUUAAGGGUAGUGGGACAAUUAUUAUGAUUAAAUGUUGCGGUUAAAAGAAUGAGUUUGGAAUACUCAACCAUAGAGAGUGAUAGUCUCGUAUUUGAAAACUAAAACAAUCUUAUUGAAUCCCAAGUAGCAUGGAGCACGUGUAAUUCCGUGUGAAUCAGCGAGGACCACCUCGUAAGGCUAAAUAUUACUGAAUGACCGAUAGUGAAAUAGUACCGUGAGGGAAAGGUGAAAAGCACCCCGACGAGGGGAGUGAAACAGACCCUGAAACUGGACGCCUACAAGCAGUCGGAGGGCGAAAGCCUGACGGCGUACCUUUUGUAUAAUGGGUCAGCGACUUCGUCUCACGAGCAAGCUUAAGCCGAUAGGUGUAGGCGCAGCGAAAGCGAGUCUUAAUAGGGCGACUGAGUUCGUGGGAUGAGACCCGAAGCCGAGUGAUCUAGCCAUGGGCAGGUUGAAGGUGCGGUAACACGCACUGGAGGACCGAACCCACGUCUGUUGAAAAAGACGGGGAUGACCUGUGGCUAGGGGUGAAAGGCCAAUCAAACUCGGAAAUAGCUGGUUCUCCGCGAAAUCUAUUUAGGUAGAGCGUCAUCCGAAUACCCUCGGGGGUAGAGCACUGGAUGGGCUAGGGGGCCCCAACGGCUUACCAAACCUAACCAAACUCCGAAUACCGAGGAGUACUAGAUGGCAGACACACUGCGGGUGCUAAGGUCCGUAGUGGAGAGGGAAACAGCCCUGACCACCAGCUAAGGUCCCUAAGUUAUCACUAAGUGGGAAACGAUGUGGGAGUGCUUAGACAACCAGGAGGUUGGCUUAGAAGCAGCCAUCCUUUAAAGAAAGCGUAACAGCUCACUGGUCAAGCGCUCCUGCGCGGAAAAUGUAACGGGGCUUAAGUGAUACACCGAAGCUGUGGAUUCAAUCUUAUGAUUGAGUGGUAGCGGAGCGUUCCGUAGGCCGAUGAAGGUGGACCCGCGAGGGCCGCUGGAGGUAUCGGAAGUGAGAAUGCUGACAUGAGUAGCGACAAAGAGGGUGAGAGACCCUCUCGCCGAAAGUCCAAGGGUUCCUGCGCAAUGCUAAUCAGCGCAGGGUUAGUCGGCCCCUAACGCGAGGCAGAAAUGCGUAGUGGAUGGGAAGCAGGUUAAUAUUCCUGCACCGACGGGUAGUGACGGAUUCUGGAAGUUGUCAGUCCUUAUCGGAUUGAAUUGGCAGCCAAGGAGUCCCUGGAAAUAGCUCCCGUAUUUGACCGUACCCCAAACCGACACAGGUGGACUGGUAGAGUAUACCAAGGCGCUUGAGAGAACUAUGCUGAAGGAACUCGGCAAAUUACUCCCGUAAGUUCGCGAGAAGGGAGCCUGGCAUUGGGCAACCAGUGUCCAGGGGCACAGACCAGGGGGUGGCGACUGUUUAUUAAAAACACAGGGCUCUGCGAAGUCGCAAGACGACGUAUAGGGUCUGACGCCUGCCCGGUGCCGGAAGGUUAAAAGGAGGAGUGAGAGCUCCGAAUUGAAGCCCCGGUAAACGGCGGCCGUAACAAUAACGGUCCUAAGGUAGCGAAAUUCCUUGUCGGGUAAGUUCCGACCUGCACGAAUGGCGUAACGACUUCCCCGCUGUCUCCAGUGUAGACUCAGCGAAAUUGAAUUCUCCGUGAAGAUGCGGAGUUCCCGCGGUCAGACGGAAAGACCCCGUGCACCUUUACUACAGCUUGACAGUGGUAUUAGCGGUAAAUUGUGUAGGAUAGGUGGGAGGCUAUGAAACCAGGGCGCCAGUUCUGGUGGAGCCAUCCUUGAAAUACCACCCUAUUUAUUGUUGAUAUCUAACCGCGGUCCAUGAACCUGGAUCCGGGACCCUGUCUGGUGGGUAGUUUGACUGGGGCGGUCGCCUCCCAAACGGUAACGGAGGCGUACAAAGGUUUCCUCUGAACGUGUAGAAAUCGUAUCUAGAGUAUAAAGGCAAAAGGAAGCUUGACUGUGAGACCUACAAGUCGAGCAGGGACGAAAGUCGGUCUUAGUGAUCUGACGGUACUGAGUGGAAAGGCCGUCACUCAACGGAUAAAAGUUACUCUAGGGAUAACAGGCUGAUCUCCCCCAAGAGUUCACAUCGACGGGGAGGUUUGGCACCUCGAUGUCGGCUCAUCGCAUCCUGGGGCGGUAGUACGUCCCAAGGGUUGGGCUGUUCGCCCAUGAAAGCGGUACGCGAGCUGGGUUCAGAACGUCGUGAGACAGUUCGGUCCAUAUCCGGUGUAGGCGUUAGAAUAUUGAGAGGAGCCUUCUCUAGUACGAGAGGACCGAGAAGGACAUACCUCUGGUGUACCAGUUAUCGUGCCAACGGUAAACGCUGGGUAGCUAUGUAUGGAGUGGAUAACCGCUGAAAGCAUCUAAGUGGGAAGCCCACCUCAAGAUGAAUAUUCUCAUCACGUAAGUGAGUAAGGUCACGGUAAGACUAACCGUUUGAUAGGCAUUAAGUGUAAG
rnacentral:rRNA from 13 species